rnacentral:rRNA from 1 species
CCACUGGUGCGCGAGAUGAGUAUUCUAAGGCGCUUGAGAGAACUCAGGAGAAGGAACUCGGCAAAUUGACACCGUAACUUCGGAAGAAGGUGUGCCUUUAGUAGGUGAACCUGUACAAGGGGAGCCCAAUGAGGUUGCAAAAAAUCGGUGGCUGCGACUGUUUAAUAAAAACACAGCACUCUGCAAACACGAAAGUGGACGUAUAGGGUGUGACGCCUGCCCGGUGCUGGAAGAUUAAAUGAUGGGGUGCAAGCUCUUGAUUGAAGUCCCAGUAAACGGCGGCCGUAACUAUAACGGUCCUAAGGUAGCGAAAUUCCUUGUCGGGUAAGUUCCGACCUGCACGAAUGGCGUAACGAUGGCCACACUGUCUCCUCCUGAGACUCAGCGAAGUUGAAAUGUUUGUGAUGAUGCAAUCUCCCCGCGGAAAGACGGAAAGACCCCAUGAACCUUUACUGUAGCUUUGUAUUGGACUUUGAACAGAUCUGUGUAGGAUAGGUGGGAGGCUUUGAAGUGUGGUCGCUAGAUCGCAUGGAGCCAACGUUGAAAUACCACCCUGGUGUGUUUGAGGUUCUAACCUAGGCCCGUAAUCCGGGUCGGGGACAGUGCAUGGUAGGCAGUUUGACUGGGGCGGUCUCCUCCCAAAGCGUAACGGAGGAGUUCGAAGGUACGCUAGGUACGGUCGGACAUCGUGCUAAUAGUGCAAUGGCAUAAGCGUGCUUAACUGCGAGACUGACAAGUCGAGCAGAUGCGAAAGCAGGACAUAGUGAUCCGGUGGUUCUGUAUGGAAGGGCCAUCGCUCAACGGAUAAAAGGUACUCUGGGGAUAACAGGCUGAUACCGCCCAAGAGUUCAUAUCGACGGCGGUGUUUGGCACCUCGAUGUCGGCUCAUCUCAUCCUGGGGCUGUAGCCGGUCCCAAGGGUAUGGCUGUUCGCCAUUUAAAGAGGUACGUGAGCUGGGUUUAAAACGUCGUGAGACAGUUUGGUCCCUAUCUUCCGUGGGCGCUGCAGAUUUGAGGAAGCCUGCUCCUAGUACGAGAGGACCGGAGUGGACACACCUCUGGUGUAUCGGUUGUCACGCCAGUGGCAUUGCCGAGUAGCUAUGUGUGGAAGAGAUAACCGCUGAAAGCAUCUAAGCGGGAAACUCGUUUCAAGAUGAGAUCUGCCGGGGCCUUGAGCCCCCUAAAGAGUCGUUCAAGACCAGGACGUUGAUAGGUCGGGUGUGGAAGCGCAGUAAUGCGUUAAGCUAACCGAUACUAAUUGCUCGUGCGGCUUGACCCA